rnacentral:rRNA from 1 species
GACGAACGCUGGCGGCGUGCUUAACACAUGCAAGUCGAGCGGAGCGGCGAACGGGUGAGGAACGAGUGAGUAACUGCCCCCCUCCCUGGGAUAACAGUUGGAAACGGCUGCUAAUACCGGAUAGUGGGGGAUGACUCGCGUCCUAUCAGCUUGUGGGUGGGGGAGUGGCCUACCAAGGCGAGGACGGGUAGCCGGCCUGAGAGGGCGACCGGCCACAUUGGGCUGAGAUACAGCACAAACUCCUACGGGAGGCAGCAGUGGGGAAUAUUGCACAAUUGGGGAAACCCUGAUGCAGCAGCGCCGCGUGCGGGAUGACUGCCUUCGGGUUGUAACCCGCUUUCAGCCAUGAUGCGGUAGUGGCAGAAGAAGCACCGGCUAACUACGUGCCAGCAGCCGCGGUAAUAC